GGGGAUUUAGCUCAGUGGUAGAGCACUUGCCUAGCAAGCGCAAGGCGCUGGGUUCGGUCCCCAGCUCCA
rfam:Rattus norvegicus chromosome 1, whole genome shotgun sequence.